rnacentral:tRNA from 1 species
GGGCCCAUGGUCUAGAGGCAUGACAUCUCGUUUACACCGAGAAGGUCGAGUGUUCGAAUCACUCUGGGCCCACCA